ACCGUUAGGGGUGCUGUUUAUCGGCUGAGAAAAACCCUUUGAACCUGUAGGUUAAUGCUUUCGUAGGGAAACGGAAAC
rnacentral:ncRNA from 1 species